rnacentral:misc_RNA from 1 species
ACAAAGUCAAUGUUUCCGGUGAUUAGUUGCAUCCUCUGUUCGGUGAUUCGGGUGAAUGUUUUGACCAGCUGGACGAUGUGAACGCAAGAUAAAUAGAACAGACAUAAAGUACAGCCCAGUGUAAGGAACAAGUUCAUCGCAAGAAGAAGAAUGUUAAUGCUACCACUGUCCAGAACUACUAAGUCUGCUGUAGCCAUGAUGUGAUCAUAUGAGUGCUUCACCGGUCUGGACAAUGCUCGAAAGUCCCCCAAAAAGGCCUAUUUCCAUAAACUACGACUCGGGUUACAUCAACAACAGCCAAGGACACUCCUUAUUGAUUCGAAUGGACACAUCUCUACGACCCGACUAAACCUCUGCAGAACAAGACUUUUUAACUGUAAAGUAUUCUCAUUUCAAAAAACCUAUAAACUAUAAAAGUACUUUUUUUAUAUGAUCAAAUACCAGUAUAUUACAAUGUCUGUCUGUAAGCUAGAAUCUUAGAAAAUCACAUGGUUUUGACUUAUUAAAUGAUUGAUUAG